rnacentral:rRNA from 1 species
GAUGAACGCUGGCGGCGUGCCUAAUACAUGCAAGUCGAGCGAACAGAUAAGGAGCUUGCUCCUUUGACGUUAGCGGCGGACGGGUGAGUAACGCGUGGGUAACCUACCUAUAAGACUGGGAUAACUUCGGGAAACCGGAGCUAAUACCGGAUAACAUUUGGAACCGCAUGGUUCUAAAGUGAAAGAUGGUUUUGCUAUCACUUAUAGAUGGACCCGCGCCGUAUUAGCUAGUUGGUAAGGUAACGGCUUACCAAGGCAACGAUACGUAGCCGACCUGAGAGGGUGAUCGGCCACACUGGAACUGAGACACGGUCCAGACUCCUACGGGAGGCAGCAGUAGGGAAUCUUCCGCAAUGGGCGAAAGCCUGACGGAGCAACGCCGCGUGAGUGAUGAAGGGUUUCGGCUCGUAAAACUCUGUUAUUAGGGAAGAACAAACGUGUAAGUAACUGUGCACGUCUUGACGGUACCUAAUCAGAAAGCCACGGCUAACUACGUG